rnacentral:rRNA from 1 species
GUGGGGAAUAUUGGACAAUGGGCGCAAGCCUGAUCCAGCCAUGCCGCGUGAGUGAUGAAGGUCUUAGGAUUGUAAAGCUCUUUCAGUGGGGACGAUAAUGACGGUACCCACAGAAGAAGCCCCGGCUAACUUCGUGCCAGCAGCCGCGGUAAUACGAAGGGGGCUAGCGUUGUUCGGAAUUACUGGGCGUAAAGCGCACGUAGGCGGAUAUUUAAGUCGGGGGUGAAAUCCCGGGGCUCAACCCCGGAACUGCCUUCGAUACUGGGUAUCUUGAGUUCGGAAGAGGUGAGUGGAAUUGCGAGUGUAGAGGUGAAAUUCGUAGAUAUUCGCAGGAACACCAGUGGCGAAGGCGGCUCACUGGUCCGAUACUGACGCUGAGGUGCGAAAGCGUGGGGAGCAAACAGG